CGGUUUGUGCUUCCCGCCAUGGACGGUUCUGAGUGUUGACGUGACGGGACUCUCGCUGCGUACAAAACAUCGUUCUACUUGCGGGUCCAUUUUUUACAUCAGUGAAGGCUGAAAAUCAUUUGAAGGUGGAAGACAAUUUGACAUUUCUUCAACGGAACCCAGCACCUAAAUAUGGCUGAGUAUAUUUGAUUUAAUAUCGAUACUGCUUAGUGUUCUUUGUUACUUCAGCUUUUGUACAUUCUAAAUAUCUGCUGUCAUUAAUUGCCACAGAAGUUAAACCCUACCCAAUGAAAUGACGUUAAACAACGACUUUGGUGCAGAGUUACCAACUGGAUAAUAUCAAAGCUAAAAUAAUGGCGGUCCUUCCAGUACAGUUACAGUAGAAGAUACUCUAGAACUGUACAAGGUUAAAAAGGUAACAUGUAGUUUGUCCCAAGUUGUCUGCCUCCUCACCCAGAGCAAGACCUCCACCUCCUCACCCAGAGCCAGACCUCCACCUCCUGUCAGAAGUCCUCCAGAACAGCUGAAAGGUGAGGCUGGGGACCGGAGGCUUGUGGUGCCAGGAUGGACCGGAGACUGAGGCUGGAGACCAGGGGCCUGCAGCACCGGACCAGAGGGUAACCAUCACCAAGCUCAUCUGAAACACUAAAAUCCACGACCAGGAAUCCAUGGCUGAAGGAGCUGAUGGAGGCCCUGCCUGGUGGAGGAGCUGGGGGAGGCCCUGCCUGGUGAAGGACGUCUGUCGUGGGACCAGGACUCUGUCUGAGGAGAGCUAAUGGAGGAGCUGAGACUCUGGAGGAUGACAUCACUCUACCAACCAGGAUCCUCAGACAAAUUACGUUUAUAACCAGACCAGGAAUCUGGUGGACUGAUGGAGAGGCCGUACAUCUGGAAGGCAAAUCCUGAGGACAUCCAGGACUCUACCAUCAUGGAUUCCUCACACACCUGAGCUGAACCUCACCUGAUCCUGUUUGGUCGGGGGUAGACACACCUGAGCUGAACCCGCCCUGAUCCUGACAUCCUGCUGGUCCCGUCUCCUCAGUUCAUCUGAGCCUCGUCCUCCACGAGGACGAGGCUCAAUGGAUCAAUGACCUCCAGUGGGAGUGAUCUUCUUGACCCCACAUGUAACCGUGUGCUUCCACACAUCUUUCUCUCACGUCUGUCACUAACCUCACUACUUCACUACUCUCUACUGCUUCCUCUUCUUCUCCCUUCUCUGUGGUUCGAACCUUUACACUGAAGGCGCGUCUUCCUGCCCUCAGAGGGUUCAGCGUUAGGGUUGAGAGUCAGGGUUUAGAGUCAGGGACAGAGCUGGUCAGGGAGGACUGCUUUUAGACAAACCUCUUCACUUGCUUUCGGAAUGGUGGUGUCAUUUUGAAAAGAUUAAUUUGGGAAAAUGUUUUCCUCUGCUUUCCUUUACAAAAUUAAACUUCUGUCAAGUGUUUUUGUUUAUAUAUUAAAAUCCCACA